CAGUGCUGCAGGGAAAGGAGGUGGGGCCAGUAGGGGGAGGUGGGCUCGGGCCUCGUCUUUCCGCUUUUCGGCCAAUCCGUGCAGCGCCCCUGACAGAGACGCGGAGCCCGGUGCAGCAGACAGUUCAACUAUUUUCCCCUUUUCUGCCACGUCCCAACCAUUGACGCGAGCCCACUCUUCGAGUUGCGAUUGGGUGUGUCCAUUUUCCCCCCUGCAGAGGCUGCUGGCAUUUAUUGGACAGCACUGCCUAGGGGGCGGGGCUUACGUGCUCGCCCCGCCUCCACCGCGGCGCGAGGGGCGGGGCACGCCGCUGCCGCCUCUGCUUCCGCCGCCGCCGCCUGCCGCUGCGCGCUCGGCGGGGGAGGAGUCGGAGGCGGAGAAGAAGGCGGUGGUGGCGGGUGGCGGAUCGAGCGCCGUUCGCGUUCCGGAGCCGCUUCGCGUUUCGGUUUACAAGCAUUUUGGAAUUGACUGUUGCAUUUUUUAAGGAAAUAAUAGGCCGGAUUUCUCCAUCAGUAUCCAGUUAAGCUAUUGUUUUUGUUGUUGUGGUUGUGGUUGUUUUCCCUGGUCCGUUGACCUAGAGCUAAAUCUUUGCUGCUGCUUUAUUCCAAACUGACUUGACUUGCACAUUACAAAAAAGGGUAGGAUGAGCCAAGGACCUUCUUAUUUGUAGCACAUCUGAAUCUGAAAUCUUAACUGAGAGGUAAUUUUAAAGAGUAUUUUUACAUUUGUUAUUUUUACUUAAUAUUCUUUCAUCACAGUUUGUCUUUAUUGGUUGCCCUUUAAUCCUCUUUCCCCCUUAGCCAGUUAUACUUCAGGUAAAUCAGAAAAUUUUUAUAGGUCUAAUGUGUUGGGUGUAUGCCCAUUCAGUUCAUUCUUCACAUACUUCUCUCUAUAUAUUUUCUUUCUAAAAAAUAGAAUAUGUUGAGAGCGUAACAGUUUAUAAACAUUUAGUGAAGUAGAGGUGUUACCAUAAACAAAUUGGAAAAAUAAUAUUUCAAUUAAAUGUGAAAUUUUUUAUCUCAUGGUCUGUUUCUGAUCUAUUUUGCUUCGAUCAUAUUUUAAUGUUAUUUUUGCUAUAACAAUUCUGAAUUUAUCUUUUCAUUUAUUUAUUUAUUUAUUUUUGUCUUUUUGUGACAGGAUCUCUCUCUGCAGUUCAAACUGGCCUUGAGCUCAUUUUGUAGUCCUGAUUGGUUUCGAACUCGCAAAGAUCCUCCUGUCUCAGCCUCCCAAGUGCUGGGAUUACAGGUGUGCACCACCAUGCCCAGCAAUUCUGAAUUUAUUAUUCCUUUUAUAAACCAAAAAACCUCCUCAUACCAGUCAUUACAUCAGAUUACCUUUUGGUGUUACCAGAAGUAGCCGACCCAUUUUACAUCAGAAAUUCGAUGUAUUUUUAAAAUUGCUUUAUGUUUAGACCUUAUUACUACUUCUGCAGUGCCUUAUUCAUAGAAUUUGAAAGCAAGUGAUACUAUUUACUGUCAGCCUCUGAAAUUGGAAGCUACAGGUUGCUAUGUAAGAUAGUUUUUCAGGAUAUCACAUUCUAUUGGAGAAAGGAGCACAAAAUUGUGUCAGUUAUUCAGCCACCAUUUUGAUACAUACUGUGCUAGACAAUGUAGUAAUAGAUGCAUUGGACUCUGGUAAAAAGAAAAUUGAAACACUUUAAUGAGGGAGGUAUGUAUCUUGUAUCUGUACUUUUCUUUCUGUUCCCCUAAAAAUUAUAUAGCCUGUCUAGAGCUGCUGACAUAAUAUCCUAGAGUGAUUGUGAUGACCUUUAGGUUAGUAAUUGAAAGAUCUAGAAUUAAAACUUCUUUAAUUCACUCCUUUAAUUUUGAGCAACAAAUUUAUAUAAUUUUUAAAAAUUAAUAGGAAGUAUAUAAAAUUUCAAGCAUUUGAAAUGAACAAGUCUCGCAGAGUAUACAGGAGUCAGUUGUGUUAUUUGUUAGGUGGAUAGUACAAGAAACAGACUAAUUCAGUAGUCUGUUCAGGUUUAAAUGUAGUCCUGUAACUGAUGAAUUAACCAUUUUAAGCUUUCCCAAAGAGUUUAAUCUUUAUUCAUUCCCUUUCCUGUCUUUUGUUCCUUUUUAUACUUCAGAUAAGAGUGAGCACUCAUAGGAACCUGAUUAUAGUGGCCUCAGAUAAAAUAAUUAGUAUCUGCAGAGACAUUCUGAUCUACUUACUCAUAAAACAAGAACCAUUAUUGAAAAUAAUAAGCAAAGUAUAUUUAGUGAUGUCUCCCAAGUUCAUACCUUUUUGAGCAUUAAAUCUUGUACUUGAUAACUCCCAGAUUUUGCUAACAGCUCAGAAUUUUCCAGUCAAAAAAAAAAAAAAAUUACCAAGUCAACUCCGGACUCCUACUUUAUAUUAACACUCUGAUGUUUAAUAUCCAGUUAAUGUUAAUAUCUCAAACUUAACACAUCCAAAGCUAAACUCAAGGGGCUGGGAAUAUAGCUCAGUGGCAUAAGCGCCUGCCUGGGAAGCGCAAGGUCCUGAGUUCGAUCCCCGGUACCACAGGAAAAACAAACAAAUCUAAACUCACGAUAUUUUCUCCAAAUCUGCUUCUUCCACAGAAUUUCCCCUAUCAGUUAACGGCAAGUCUUUUUUUCCAGUAGUCUGUCCUAUAAAACUUACAGUCUACCUCAGCUCCUUGCUUUCUUUCGUAUUUUCUAUCAGUAAAUUUUGUUGGCUUUGUUUUCACAGUAUAUUCAGAAACCAUUUCUUACCACUUCUGCUUUUUCCCUGGUCUAAACCGCUAUGAUUUCUUGUCAGUAUCAUUUUUCUAGUUUUGUAAUCAGUUUCCCUUUCUUUGACCUUGGUUUCCUUCAUGGUGUUCGACACAGUGGCCAGUGGGUUCCCGCUAACACAGAAGUCAGAUGAUGUCUCUUCUCUGCACAGAACUGUUCAGUGACUUUUUUUUAAAUCUCAAAAUGAAACCAGCAUUUCUAACAGCAUAUGAAAAGCCUUGUGAUCUGUUCUGAUCUGCUUCAUUCUUCCCCAUCGUUUUCAUCAUUCAUUUUUAACUUCAUCUGUUAUUUUCUUGUUAAUGUUCUUCUUCUAGAUUUGCUAUUACCUGAUUAUUUCUGGAACUUCUCGCUUCACUGUCUUCAGUUUAUUUUACCUAGAAUGUUUUUUCCCUAGGUCUGCACAUUUCCUCCAUCAUUUCAGAUACUUGCUUCAAUGACCCAUUCUUAGUGAAAUUGUUCAUCUCCACAGCUCUUUAUUCCUUGCAUUAUUUUGACCCAUACUGUGUUAUCUCACAUGUUGUAUAUUAUUUAGUGUCUUGUCUCAUGCUGUAAUUUCAGAAGAGCAGAAAUGUUUAUCAUUUUGUAGUUGUUACAUUCCCCAGCUCUAAAAAUAGUGCUUGAUAUAUGGAAAAAAAAAGCUGUCUUCCAAAGAGAAAGGACUUUGAAUAUAAUAUUUAUAAUAGGAUGUUCUUUAUAAAUAUUCAUUAAGACUGCCAUUGUGAAUUGUGAAGAUUCAAGUUAUUUCAGAUUGCUUUUCAUAUUAAAACAAUGUUAAUUAGAGCCUGUGGUUUUGCCAGUAUGGUUAAGUGGUUUUUUGUGGAUUUUUUACAUACUUUUUUUCUCUUUAGCUAUUGUUCAUAAUCGUACUUGAUCCAAAUUUAGUAGAGAAUCUCAAUAUUUUGCAGAAUUUGUGAUUAUGUAAAUAAAUGUAUCUGUGGUCAGGUGACAGUUGAACUGAUUUGUAGAACUAUUGUCUGAUAAAUUUGCAUUAGUGAUAAACAGUUAGCAAUAGCCCAAGUGUUUCAUAACUAAGGUGUUUAAAUAAAAUUAAGCCUUUACUAAACUCAAAAAAAGUCACAACCUCUCAAAUAGUACAUAAGUGAAUUAAUUCAAAACAGGAGAAAGUCUUUUUGUAUUUGUUAAAUAGUAAGUUGUGGUUUUUACUGACUCAGACUAGUUUCUUUUUGAGAUUAAAUUAUCUGGUCAAUUGCCUGUUGUUAAGAAUAAGUACAUCAUUGUCUAUACACAGUGUUAAUUAUUGUUAUUUGCCAUUAAACAUUUAAAAGUGUGGGUUGUAUUUUUAUGCUAAUAUUUGAAAAGUAAGGUUUGUAUUUUUAUAUUAAUACAUAAAACUUUUUAUAUUUUUGUUUCUUUAAGUUUAUUAAUUUAUUUUUAUUAGUACAUGUUUGCAAUAUAUAAUUACAUUUAUCUUGGAGAGUUCAUAUAUGUACAUAGCACAUCUUAAUUCUUCCUUUCUUCCUUGCUUUUUUUUUAGGGGGAGGGAGGUCUCCUGCCCCUCCUUCUUCCCUCCAACUCUUAAUCCCUUUCCAUUUGAAAAAGUUCUAUUUCCAUUUUUUCUUUGUUUUUUUUCUGGUACCAGGAAUCAAACUCACUACCUUGCGCUUGCCAGACAGGCACUGUGCCACUGAGCUAAAUCCCCAGCCCCUGAUUUUUUGUUUUAAUCCUUUUUCCUUUCCUUAUUCUUAACAAGAAUUUUAACAGUUCCAGGGGUAAAAGAUCUACAGUACUUGAUGAAACAAAAGCAGCACAGUCUAGUAGAUUCCCAAAUAGUUCCGUUAUAUAUCCUAGUCAGAACUUCUUCUAGUGUGUUUG
ensembl:lincRNA